CCUACGGGCGGCAGCAGUGGGGAAUAUUGGACAAUGGGGGGAACCCUGAUCCAGCCAUGCCGCGUGUGUGAAGAAGGCCCUCGGGUUGUAAAGCACUUUCAGUGAGGAAGAACGCCUGGUGGUUAAUACCCAGCAGGAAAAACAUCACUCACAGAAGAAGCACCGGCUAACUCCGUGCCAGCAGCCGCGGUAAUACGGAGGGUGCGAGCGUUAAUCGGAAUUACUGGGCGUAAAGCGCGCGUAGGUGGCUUGAUAAGCCGGUUGUGAAAGCCCCGGGCUCAACCUGGGAACGGCAUCCGGAACUGUCAAGCUAGAGUGCAGGAGAGGAAGGUAGAAUUCCCGGUGUAGCGGUGAAAUGCGUAGAGAUCGGGAGGAAUACCAGUGGCGAAGGCGGCCUUCUGGACUGACACUGACACUGAGGUGCGAAAGCGUGGGUAGCAAACAGGAUUAGAUACCCUGGUAGUC
rnacentral:rRNA from 1 species